GUGGGGAAUCUUGCGCAAUGGGCGAAAGCCUGACGCAGCCAUGCCGCGUGGAUGAUGAAGGUCUUAGGAUUGUAAAAUCCUUUCACCGGUGAAGAUAAUGACUGUAGCCGGAGAAGAAGCACCGGCUAACUUCGUGCCAGCAGCCGCGGUAAUACGAAGGGGGCUAGCGUUGCUCGGAUUUACUGGGCGUAAAGGGCGCGUAGGCGGACAUUUAAGUCAGUGGUGAAAUCCCGGGGCUCAACCUCGGAACUGCCUUUGAUACUGGGUGUCUUGAGUAUGAGAGAGGUGUGUGGAACUCCGAGUGUAGAGGUGAAAUUCGUAGAUAUUCGGAAGAACUCCAGUGGCGAAGGCGACACACUGGCUCAUUACUGACGCUGAGGCGCGAAAGCGUGGGGAGCAAACAGGAUUAGAUACCCUAGUAGUCC
rnacentral:rRNA from 1 species